CCUAAUUCCUCACUGCCUCACAAGGCAUGACCUUGUGCCUUCACGGGAAUCAGUUCACGACUUCACCGCUUCAAGGCUUCACUCUUCAGACUUCAGUGCCUUGUGGCUUGUGCCUCUCGUCUCUCUAGUCUCUCACUCUCCCUCAGACGGUCCGACCUCCAUCCCUCUCUCCCUCUCGCCUCUCAGCUUUCUCAGUCUCGUCUCGCUAGCUCGAUGCCGUAGCCGGAGGUCGGAGUCAGUCACUCAAGCUUCGUCCACUCGUCUAGUUCUGGCAUCUUUGAGCGGUUUCCUGGGAUACUUCAUGAAGGAGAGAUAGAUAAAAGGGUUCAGUUCCUAAUUGAAGGCCUCUUUGCAUUAAGUAAAGCUAAGUUUCAGUGCCCAAAGUUAAACAAGGAUUGAAGAGCUGUUACAGGAGGACCAUCAUGUAAAACACAUGAGGGAAAACUUUCAGAAGUCAGAAACAAUCUUCUCUUCUUUCAAAACUUACUAGACAACUCAGUAUCCAUGAUGAUCGAGCAACUGCCGCCUCCAACUACUCAAAUGGUGAAAUAGGUAAAUGUUAGGCUUAAUAUUCUUUCCGGUUCUGAUCUCCACAUUUAGUGUGUUUCGAAUGGGCAGAUUGUGUAUCAAGUUAUAUACAGUAGGUAUGCAUUUGAUUAGAACUUUGUGAACAAUUUAGACUUUGUGAUUGGAAGUAGAUGAUGGAUUCUUGUGUAUUUUGAAAUACUUUAUUGUAUUUUGAAGUAGAUGAUGGAUUCUUGUGUAUUUUGAAAUACUUUACAUACUAGUAAAAGAUGAUUAUACUAAUGAAUUAAUGC